AUUGAACGCUGGCGGCAUGCCUUACACAUGCAAGUCGAACGGCAGCGCGGGCUUCGGCCUGGCGGCGAGUGGCGAACGGGUGAGUAAUACAUCGGAACGUGCCCUAGAGUGGGGGAUAACUAGUCGAAAGAUUAGCUAAUACCGCAUACGAUCUACGAAUGAAGGUGGGGGACCGCAAGGCCUCAUGCUCCUGGAGCGGCCGAUGUCUGAUUAGCUAGUUGGUGGGGUAAAGGCCUACCAAGGCGACGAUCAGUAGCUGGUCUGAGAGGACGACCAGCCACACUGGGACUGAGACACGGCCCAGACUCCUACGGGAGGCAGCAGUGGGGAAUUUUGGACAAUGGGGGAAACCCUGAUCCAGCAAUGCCGCGUGUGUGAAGAAGGCCUUCGGGUUGUAAAGCACUUUUGUCAGGAACGAAACGGUGGGGGCUAAUAUCCUCUGCUAAUGACGGUACCUGAAGAAUAAGCACCGGCUAACUACGUGCCAGCCGCCGCCGUAA
rnacentral:rRNA from 1 species